UCCACUUUUAGAAGCUACAAAGUACUUGAAGUUGCUUCAAAAGAACUACCCUGAUUCGUUAGAAACACACUUGCUUUCUUUUGAAGUGAAUGUGAGAAAACAGAAGGUUUUGCUUGCCUUUCAGCCUGUAAAGCAACUACUGAGGUUGAACGCUGAACACCCAGAUACACAUCGCUGUUUAGUAUGUAUCUCUGUUAUCUAUGGCCAUCGUGUUUGUAUAUGUUCUUAUCAGUUUGUGGUGAUCUGUCUAUUCCACUCGAACUUAUUGUUAACUGCUCGAAUAAGAGGAAUAUCAUGGGCUUCAUAAAGGACCUCUAACAGCCAUAUUCACAUUCUACUUGUUAAUUUGGAUGCCAUACUUGAUGCCCUGUUGGUUACCUAUCACAGAGAGAAUUUUUCCAAAGCUAUUUACACAUCAAUGCUAUGUUUGUAUUGAACUUUACAGAAAGGAAUUAACCUUGCUAGGUCUUUAGAGAAGAAAUAAAUGCGGAUAGAAGUUAGUACAAACUGUAUGAAUUGUUUCUUCAUAUUGGUUCUUCUUAUGGAAUAUAGGGUGAUAAAUUAGUUAGUAUGAAUUGUCCUUUCCCUUUCUUUUUCUCCUGAGUUGCAUAGGUCUGGUUUCCUGGUUUCCUUUACACUCAAAUGUGAUAAGUUUCAAUUCUUGUAUUUAAUGACCUUAUUUGUUUUAUUUUUCCUCUGAAAUUAGUCUCUCUCUAUGUUUUUUGUUCUUUUUGUUUUUCUUUAUAUAUAUUAUUUCUUUAUGGGAGUGAUUUUAGUGAUUAUUUGUUUAUAUGUUCUUAAUAAUAAAAGGAUUUUUUUUUUUACAAUGUGCAGGUAUAUUGAGAUGAUUUCUUUGGAGAAAUUCUUGACAACAUUUGUAGUUGAGGCCUUUAGAAUGGAAGAAUGUAUUUCACUAAUUUUUGUAUACAUUUCUUGUUUUGUAUUUAGUGAUAAAGGAAUCUGAAUUGGGCAUAAAUUAUGUUGUAAUAUGAUUUCUUAAGCCUAGACUAGUAGACUAAAUAUUGUAAUUACAUUUUGAGUAAUUAAUAAAAAUCUAUUUAUGUUACCUUA